rnacentral:rRNA from 1 species
GACGAACGCUGGCGGCGUGCUUAACACAUGCAAGUCGAACGGAAAGGCCCUGCUUUUGUGGGGUGCUCGAGUGGCGAACGGGUGAGUAACACGUGAGUAACCUGCCCUUGACUUUGGGAUAACUUCAGGAAACUGGGGCUAAUACCGGAUAGGAGCUCCUGCUGCAUGGUGGGGGUUGGAAAGUUUCGGCGGUUGGGGAUGGACUCGCGGCUUAUCAGCUUGUUGAUGGGGUAGUGGCUUACCAAGGCUUUGACGGGUAGCCGGCCUGAGAGGGUGACCGGCCAAACUACACUUGAGCUGCGGCACAGACUACUCCGGGACGCAGGGGAGCGGAAGAGUGCAUAAUGGGCGGAAGCAAAGUGCAGUCAAGCAGCGCGGGGGAUGACAGGCAGCCGGUAGUGAUCCAAUGCUGCCUUUGACGAAGUGUGAGUGACAGUAACGGGUAAAGAAGCACCGGCUAACUCCGUG